rnacentral:rRNA from 1 species
CCCUUAGAUGUUCUGGGCCGCACGCGCGCUACACUGAUGCAUUCAACGAGUCUAAAACCUGCUCUGAUAGGGGUGGGUAAUCUUUUGAAUGUGCAUCGUGAUUGGGAUAGAUGAUUGCAAUUUUUCAUCUUCAACGAGGAAUGCCUAGUAAACGCAAGUCAUCAGCUUGCAUUGAUUACGUCCCUGCCCUUUGUACACACCGCCCGUCGCUCCUACCGAUUGAAUGAUCCGAUGAAUAUCAUGGAUUGAGGAUGCAAGUAGGUUCGCCUAUCUUCAUCUCCGAGAAGUGGAGUAAAUCUUAUCAUUUAGAGGAAGGAGAAGUCGUAACA